CAGUCGCCGCGGUAAAACGAGGGGGGCAAGCGUUAAUCGGAAUUACUGGGCGUAAAGCGUGCGCAGGCGGUGUUGUAAGACUGAUGUGAAAUCCCCGGGCUCAACCUGGGAACUGCAUUGGUGACUGCAACGCUGGAGUGCGGCAGAGGGGGAUGGAAUUCCGCGUGUAGCAGUGAAAUGCGUAGAUAUGCGGAGGAACACCGAUGGCGAAGGCAAUCCCCUGGGCCUGUACUGACGCUCAUGCACGAAAGCGUGGGGAGCAAACAGGAUUAGAUACCCGCGUAGUCCCUGUCUCUUAUAC
rnacentral:rRNA from 1 species